CAGCUACAAAAUGGCUACACUUGUGGAUCUACAGGCCACUUAGCAAGCAAGUGCCUGAAUCGCUCCAAGGCCAUGGCUCCAGGAAGCUUUACAGACUCCCUUCCCAAGAGUAGGGGGUCCUCAGACAAUUAAGAGAUAAUUAAAGAGACAAUUAAGGAGAGCUCAGAUGGACAACAGCAGGCAAAUACAUUUUAUUGUUCUUGCUAGUCUCUGUUUAGACUCAGGCUGGAAAAUACAACUCUCUGCCCUUGUGGACUUGGGGGUGACAGUCAAUUUUAUAGAUGACAUCACAAUACAAGAGUUUAAUUUAUCCACUCAGACACUAGAAAGGCUGAUGCUGGUGGAAAAAAUAGAUGGGCAGAUACUAAGAGCUGGGCCUGUGUUAUGAUGCACUACCCCCUUGCAGCUGACGAUAUGAGAUGACAUGGAACUCUUGCCACUCCAUGCACUGGCUUCCCUACAGGUUCCCAUUGUGCUGAGAAUUGAUUGGUUACAAUGACAUAAUCCAGAUGUGCACUGGGAGCAAGGAAUAAUUUCUUUUCCAUCACCAAAAUGUCAACAACACUGAUUACAAGCUUUUAACUCUCACCCUCCCCCCAUGCCCAUUCAGCACACUGACUCUCCUGCCUUCCCAGGGAAAUACUCAGCCUUUGCAGAUGUGUUUGGAGAGGAGGAGGCUAUGGCAUCGCUUCCAUGUCAAGUGUGUAAACGCACUAUCGACUUGAAACUGGGAGCCCAGAUUCCAACUAGGAAGCAGUAUCCAAUGUCUACUCAAGAGUUAGCCACUGUGAAGGAAUUUCUGGAUGAUAAUUUGAAGAAAGGAUGUAUUCACAUUUCUAAAUCUCAAGCAUCUGUAGCUACUUUUUUAUUCCCCCCAUCCACAAAAUAUGGUUUUAUUAAGUCUGCUUAUGAUUUUAGAUUUUUGAAGCAGGUGACCAUUAGGGAUCACUACCUAUUGCCUCUUAUUUCAGAUCUCCUGGAUCACCUCCAGAGGGCAUGUGUUUUCAUGAAGUUGGAUCUGAAGGAUGCUUACCAUUUGAUCAGGGUGAAAGAGGGACAUGCAUACAUAACUGCAUUUGACAUAGAAAUUUGAGUACACAGUGAUGUCUUUUAGCUUGGUUAAUUGCGGGGCAGUUUUCUCCAGAUUCAGCAACAAGAUAGUUUCUGACAUUUCAGACAAAUACAUAAGUAGUGGUGUAUUUGGAUGACAUACUGAUCUUUUCAGAGGACCUUUUCUUGCAUGCAGGUCAUAUCAGAAAUGUCUUAAAGAAACUCCACAAACACAAUGCAAGCUUUUUGCUAAAUUGGAGAAAUGUAUGUUUGAUCUACCCCAGUUGGACUAUUUGGAUUACAAGAUCUCAGCUGAAGGUGUACAAAGGAACCCUGCAAAGCCCUCCUUCAGGUUUUGUUCCUUCAACAUGCACAAUAGCGGUUGUUCCCGCUAUUAAGGCUGAGCACAAUACCUAAAUCUUUAUAGUGGAUAAUUAACAGCCAGCAGUAAAAAGAUGGGAUAGCUGUGAGUCCUGGUCUGAUUGGAAGGCAUUAGAUAUUAUGUGGAUGCUGGAACUAAGCAGGUAUUAACUGGCUUGGAAUGGAGACUCCUUGGAACCUAUGUUUGAAUAGGAUACAAGAACCACUUCUAAAAAUAACCCAAACAACACUGUGCAACUUUUAGGCAGUACAAAGCCAUGAUCUUUCAAGGCAUGCUGAUUAAUUGCUAAGGACUAUGAAGCUUUAGCCAGGAAUUUACUAUAUGAAAAUCUUAGAGAAAGCAUUCUUGAUACAGAU